rnacentral:rRNA from 1 species
CCUACGGGAGGCAGCAGUGAGGAAUAUUGGUCAAUGGAAGGAAUCCUGAACCAGCCAUGCCGCGUGCAGGACGACGGCUCUACGAGUUGUAAACUGCUUUUGUACCGGGAUAAAAUGCUCUACGAGUAGGGUUUUGUAAGUACGGUAAGAAUAAGGAUCGGCUAACUCCGUGCCAGCAGCCGCGGUAAUACGGAGGAUCCGAGCGUUAUCCGGAUUCAUUGGGUUUAAAGGGUGCGUAGGUUGUUUUAUAAGUUAGCGGUGAAAUACCGAUGCUCAACAUCGGGGCUGCCGCUGAAACUGUAGGACUAGAGAGCGGAUGCAGCAGGCGGAAUGUGUGGUGUAGCGGUGAAAUGCAUAGAUAUUACACAGAACACCGAUUGCGAAGGCAGCUUGCUAGGCCGGAUCUGACACUGAUGCACGAAAGCGUGGGUAUCGAACAGGAUUAGAUACCCCAGUAGUC